rnacentral:rRNA from 1 species
UACGUAGGGUCCGAGCGUUGUCCGGAUUUAUUGGGCGUAAAGAGCUCGUAGGCGGUUCCGUAAGUCAGAUGUGAAAACUCAGGGCUCAACCCGGGAACUGCGUCCGAUACUGGAAGGCUUGAAUCCGGGAGAGGGAUGUGGAAUUCCAGGUGUAGCGGUGAAAUGCGUAGAUAUCCUGAGGAACACCGGUGGCGAAAGCGGCGCGCUGGACCCCUUCUGACGCUGAGGCGCGAAAGCCAGGGGAGCAAACGGG